GNCNANUCGAUUUNAGGAAGUUUUCGGACGGAAUUGAAAUUGACUGAGCGGCGGACGGGUGAGUAACGCGUGGGUAACCUGCCUCAUACAGGGGGAUAACAGUUGGAAACGACUGCUAAUACCGCAUAAGCACACAGUGCCGCAUGGUACGGUGUGAAAAACUCCGGUGGUAUGAGAUGGACCCGCGUCGUAUUAGGUAGUUGGUGAGGUAACGGCCCACCAAGCCGACGAUCAGUAGCCGACCUGAGAGGGUGACCGGCCACAUUGGGACUGAGACACGGCCCAAACUCCUACGGGAGGCAGCAGUGGGGAAUAUUGGACAAUGGGGGAAACCCUGAUCCAGCGACGCCGCGUGAGUGAAGAAGUAUUUCGGUAUGUAAAGCUCUAUCAGCAGGGAAGAAAAUGACGGUACCUGACUAAGAAGCCCCGGCUAACUACUGGCCAGCAGCCGCGGUAAUACGUAGGGGGCAAGCGUUAUCCGGAUUUACUGGGUGUAAAGGGAGCGUANACGGCACUGCAAGUCUGGAGUGAAAGCCCGGGGCUCAACCCCGGGACUGCUUUCCAAACUGUGGUGCUAGAGUGCAGGANAGGUAAGUGGAAUUCCUAAUGUANCGGUGAAAUGCGUANAUAUUAGGANGAACACCANUGGCGAAGGCGGCUUACUGGACUGUAACUGACCUUNANGCUUCAAAACCGUGGGGAGCAAACACGAUU
rnacentral:rRNA from 1 species